AUUGAACGCUGGCGGCAGGCCUAACACAUGCAAGUCGAGCGGCAGCGGGAAAGUAGCUUGCUACUUUUGCCGGCGAGCGGCGGACGGGUGAGUAAUGCCUGGGAAAUUGCCCAGUCGAGGGGGAUAACAGUUGGAAACGACUGCUAAUACCGCAUACGCCCUACGGGGGAAAGCAGGGGACCUUCGGGCCUUGCGCGAUUGGAUAUGCCCAGGUGGGAUUAGCUAGUUGGUGAGGUAAUGGCUCACCAAGGCGACGAUCCCUAGCUGGUCUGAGAGGAUGAUCAGCCACACUGGAACUGAGACACGGUCCAGACUCCUACGGGAGGCAGCAGUGGGGAAUAUUGCACAAUGGGGGAAACCCUGAUGCAGCCAUGCCGCGUGUGUGAAGAAGGCCUUCGGGUUGUAAAGCACUUUCAGCGAGGAGGAAAGGUUGAUGCCUAAUACGUAUCAACUGUGACGUUACUCGCAGAAGAAGCACCGGCUAACUCCGUGCCAGCAGCCGCGGUAAUACGGAGGGUGUAAGCGUUAAUCGGAAUUACUGGGCGUAAAGCGCACGCAGGCGGUUGGAUAAGUUAGAUGUGAAAGCCCCGGGCUCAACCUGGGAAUUGCAUUUAAAACUGUCCAGCUAGAGUCUUGUAGAGGGGGGUAGAAUUCCAGGUGUAGCGGUGAAAUGCGUAGAGAUCUGGAGGAAUACCGGUGGCGAAGGCGGCCCCCUGGACAAAGACUGACGCUCAGGUGCGAAAGCGUGGGGAGCAAACAGG
rnacentral:rRNA from 1 species